GUGUACUGAUAAAAAUGCAAUUAUGACCGUUUCUUUGUAGUGAAUUAUGUUUGAUAACUGUGAAAACAUGUGAAUAUUUAUUUAUAAAACGUGUAUAUUCAUUCAAACACAUUAUUCAACCGAAUCAGUCUUCCUAUUAUAACAAAAUGUGGAUGUAUUUUUUGUUAACCAUUUUUAUAACGUUCGAUUUUGUAAUGGCAUCGCCUGGCUUUGAUUUUGGGGAUACUUUAGCAUUAAUUAUUGGAUUGAUUAUUGGAAUCAUUGGAUUUUUCGCUUGCAUGGGUGCAUAUGCACGGCGUCGAAAUCGUUUGGAACCACUGUCAUAAUAGUACAUAACUUAGGAAUUCAACUGAGAGCUAUUGGAUACAUAAAAAGUUACAGAAGAAAAUGCCUCAAAUCAAUUUACAUAUUUUGAAUAUUACAUAUUUAUCAAAUAGAUUUAAAAUAUUUUAAUAAUAACAGUAAUAUUUAUAAUUAUGAACUAUAUUUCUGAUGAAAAUAUAUUAAACUAUUUUUAUACAUUGUUCCACUAAUGUAAUGAAUAUAUUGCAUACAUUUAAAUAAAGAUAAUAAUAAAAUAUAAA